rnacentral:tRNA from 1 species
CUCCCUGUGGUGUAGUUGGCUAUCACGUCGGGCUGUAAUCGUACAUUUCACCUGAAGGUCACCGGCUCGACUCCGGUCGGGGAGA